UCCUAAUGGUUUUCCACAUGGUUGUUCCACUCAAAAUAUUCAAAGCAUAGACACAUCAAUAGUUUACAUUAAUCACAGAGUUGCGAAUUCACAUAACUUCUGAUCAAAUUGCAUAGAAGUUAUAUACAGGGAUCAAUGGUCAACAAAAACAGAGACCAAAGACACUGGUGCAUCAACCAAAUAUUCAAAAUUCGAGACCUCAUUUUCUACAAGGUUCUGCUACAGCUUUGGUUGCAAGAUGUUCUCCAAGGAUACCCUGCACUGGACAUGAUUGAACUUGUAAAAUGUGCAAGUGUCAAUGAUUUGCUACAGUAAGAUUACAAGUAACAGGAAUAAUACCUAUUUCUUCAAGAUGUUCUUCAAUUUUGCUACAAUAACCUAUUUGUUAUCUCAGUUUCAGGAAUACUACCUAUUUUUUUCAAAAUGUUCUUAAGUUUUGCUACAAUAACCUAUUUGUUAUUUCAGUUUCUCACAUUAGCAUGGGUAUAAUACCUAAGUUGUUGUUUUUUUCAACUGAACUUAACGAAUUUGACAAAAUAAUUGAGUGAUUUGUUCUAGAACCCUAUAUAAAAUUUGAUACAAACACAACUGAAAAAAAUCAAUUAUACUGAAAACUUGAGCAUGCGUUUCUAGGUUAAUAUGACAGGACUAUCUACAACAGCUUGAGUACAUAAGUUAUUAGAGGUUUCUUGUGUGCCUAGGGUGUUUUCUUCUUAAUACAAAUGCCACACGGGCUAGUCCCUAUUUUUCUGGUUUGCUGCAUUAGAGGUUUCUUGCAAGUCAAGCUCAAAUUACAGUAUCAAUCAGUUAUUUGAUUUCAAAAUAAUAUGGUACAGUUUCUUGCCUUGAUAGAUAACCUCAUGUUAUUGUUGAAAGCUCUCUGUCUUUGUCUUCAUGAUGUUCCUUGUGCCUGCCAUGCUACCGCUCCAUGCUUUCUAAAUCCCAACAUAAUGAAAGAGAAUGAAACCAAAAGGUUGGACAAACAAAACGAGAGAACAAUUUAUUGUGGUACUGGAAAAGAUCCCAACAAAAUAUAAAGAGUGGCUACGUUCAAACUAAACCGACAUAGCAGCUACUUGCUCAACCCAGAUAUCAUGAUCUUGAGGACACAUGACAUAUGAUGGUCAUAUACAGGAGACAACUUGACAACAAAGCAUUCAUGAUAAUACUUCGGAGAAGAUGAUGAAAACAAAAGUAAGAGACCAUACCUCUACUAGAGUAAGGGCUCUUACAUCUCUUUUAGAUCACGAAUCUUGUAUUUUGCUCCAAAUCUAGAUGAACUACAAACAAGAAAAAACAGAUCUCAAAUAGGUGUUGGCCAACAUUUAAUUUCUAGUUUGAAGACAUACACCAUCAAAAUAUGGAAGGGAUUAAGUAUACACAUUUGAUAGUACCUCUUCUUCAUUUGGAAGAAUAUUAUACAAUUUCUUCUUUCCAAGUGAUAACCUCGACUUUUUGCUGCAACCUCUUUGUUGCACUAAUGAUGUUCCCUGUACUUUGAAUGUAACUCAUGUUUUUGUAUUGGAUAGACAAGUUAGAGAACAAACUGUUAUUUUACUGGAUAACAAGAGAAUUAAAGAUCGGAAGAAGGAAAUAUAAUGGAGAAUAAAUUCAGAUUGAACCAACAUAGUAGCUAUUGCUGAACACAGGUAAAAACCAUAUCUUGAUAAAGAGCCAUAGCAAAGCUUAGAUCUCUUAUAGUUCCUGAAUGUUCAGCUUUGCUCCUGAUCUAGAUGAACUAAAAACUAGGAAAAUCAGACCUCAAAUCAUUGUCAUCAAUAUACAAUUUUUAGGUUCAGGGGCAUACAUCAACAAUGUCUGGAAGUUGUAUUUUAGCAUUUCCCUUUUACCAAGCCAACUAUACUUCAAAGUUUCAUAUAAGUUUGCCAAAGUUGCAUUACAUAGUGUGCGGCUAGUGAGGCUGGCACUUACAAAUAAUAUGGAUGCUGACAAGUAUAAAUUCACAUAUGAAAGUAUAAUAAGAAAUAAAUUUUCUCACAGUCCGAGCAUUUAACACUGGUGCGUGUGACACAAUGGUAGCCACUCCUUUGAUGUUUACCAUUACAGUAAGUAAAUGAGUAUGACCAAACAUAUAGAAAAGUUCAGAUGGUGCUAUGAGCUGCCUUAAUACUGAUGUGAUACAAAGGCAGCCACUCCUUUGAUGAUUUACAAUUUUCAACUAGAACGAAAAUUGUGCAGUACCACAAUCUAGUACUCUCUAUAAGGCGCUGUAGUAUGCCAUUCCUCUCAUGACGCUGGUCCCGUACAAACUAGCAAUGGUCUGUACUAGCUAGUAGUGAUUAUCACAGGAUUAGGAGCUGUCUCAUGUACAAAUAUCAACAUAAAUUUCAGUCUUUAUCUCCUAAUUCAGUAGUUUACAAGCGUGAUCUUGUGAUUCUCCUGGUGAAAGAUGCUGCUCAAUCCACAAGUUUAUUUUUCAGUCAAGUACUUGGCACUGCUACUACAACACUGAAAAAUUAGAUUUUUACCUUCUCUCGGCUCAUCUUGAUUUAGUACUCCAUGAGGGCGGGUUCGUGCCAUGAACCGGUACUAAUGCCGCAAACCCCAUUAGUACCGGUUCGUGGCACGAACCGGGACUAAAGGUCUAACCCUUUAGUCCCGGUUGCUGCCACGAACCGGUACUAAUGGGCAUCGCACCCUUUAGUCCCGGUUUAUGGCAUCAACCGGGACUAAAAGGUCCAGACGAACCGGGACAAAUGGCCCACGUGGCCCGGCCGGCCCCCUGGGCUCACGAACCAGGACUAAUGCCCCCAUUAGUCCCGGUUCUGGAUUAAACCAGGACUAAUGGGCAAACCUGGCCUGGACCAAAGCCCUCUUUUCUACUAG
rnacentral:lncRNA from 1 species